GGAAAGUUGUAGAGUUAUGCCCUGGAAAGCGGGACAAGGAAUGCUAGAUGGUAGAUAACACAUGACUAAACGUAUGUCUUAGAAAUAGCCGCAGUGAAUUGUUUCAGAAAAACAAGAAGCAAAAUCUGCUCAAGAGGUAGAAGGAAAUAACCUGGGGAAGACAUUAGAAAGUGAGUGAUGUACAGGUCUGCUGGAAAGGAACUGAAGAAAAAAUAGAAAUGGAAACUUCCAGCCAAGAAACUUAGUUUUCUCCAUUAGGAAUUACUUGAGUUUGAUGAUAUGUUUCCCUUGUGGCGAGUAUGUUAGGGACACAAAGGAUGGAUGCAGGAGAUAGAGAUGAUGGCCCCAAUGACUGGAUGAUGGAGGGAAAGCUCAGUUGGAACAAAUUCGAUGAAAUGUUUGUUUAGACUUCAAGCUGGGGAAAUCAUCCCUUCUCCACCCCAUGUGGUCCUGGUGGAAUGUCUCUUACGACGCUCUUGCCACCUUCCAAUUAACCAGAUGAGUAGCCAGGAGGCCCAAGACGGCUAAAUAAAAUACACUCACCUCCUGAGGAUAAUAUGAGUCUUUUUAUGAGAUUUGGGAUCUACAUUAGGUCAGGAAAAAAGUCUCUGUUACUUCUGGGCCACCUGCCAGCAGAACGGAAGCUUGGAACCAUCAGCACCUGUGGUUCCUGCCACAAGGAGAGGGUCUGCCUAAGAACAACUCAUGUGCACAGAGAGAAGCAGAGUCAAUGGAUGGAGAGACAGUCCUCUGAGAACAUUAUUUAAGCCCAUGUAUCCAGUCUAUCUCAUCGAUCCCACUUUUGGAGCCAAUAAAUUCUUUUUUUUUAAGCUUAUUUGAGUUUUAAGCUGCAACUGAAAGAGUUCUAAAUGAUUUAAAGUGUUAUCCUUGUUUCGAGGAAAAGGAAACUAGCCUCCAAAUGUCACAUGACUUGUCCAAGAUCUCAUGAGGUGUCUUACGAGGUAAUAUCCAGUGGAACAUGGUCACAGUUCUGUCCAAUGCCCAUGAUCUUUGCAUAAUUGCAUUUUAAAAGUUUAAAAAAUGUAUUCGCAAUGAAACUCAUCCUUUUGCUGUGCAGUUUUAUGAGUUUUGGCCAGUGCACAGAUCUGAGUCACUGCCACCAGUUUCGGCACCCUCAAGGGCUCCCUCACACUGUUCCUUUGUAGUCAGACACUCCCCCUACUCUUAGCACUUGGCAACUACUGAUUUGUUCUCUGUCCCUAAAGUUUUGCCUUUUCUUCAGAAUGUCGUAUAAGUGGAAUCACACAGCCUUUUGAAUCCGGCUUCUUUUCACUUAGCAGUUGAAAUUCAUCCAUCCUGUUGGAUGUUACCAGCAUAAAUGCUUUAUGAAGGCAUGCUUCAAGCAGCUUCUCAAUCAUGUCCUCUUUGGUGUGAGUGGAGCAUCUACAGGUUUUAGAAAAGAGGAAAAGGGACACAUACUGGGUUGAAUAGUAUUCUACCAAGAUUUCCAUCCAACUGGAAUUUAGGAAUAUGAUCUUAUUUGGAAAUAGGGUCUUUGCAGAAAUAAUCAAGUGAAGAUGAUGUCAUUCUGGAUUAGGCUGGGACCUAAUCCAAUGACUAGUCUUCUUAGGAGAAGAGAGAAAUUUGGACACAAGGACACGAAGGGAGAGAAUGUCACAUGGCCACAGAAGCAGAGACUGGAGACAGGCAGCUGCAAACCAAGAAACGCCAAGAAUUGCCUGCAACCGUAAGAAGCUACAAAAGAGGCAUGGAACAGACUCGCCCUCAGAGGCUCCAUGUGGAUCUGACUUUGCUGACACCUUGAUUUUGGACUUGCAGCUUCCAGAACUGGCAGAGCAAGAUUUCUGCUUGAACUCACUUAGUCUGUGGUCAUUUGUUGUAGCGGCCCUUGGAAACUAAUACAGGAAGGUAUGAAGGUACAGGGCAUUGCCUUUAAGGCAGCUUCCACCCAAGAAAAGAGCCUAACUGAGGAAACAGGAUGCAUGAAGACUGAGUUCCUUCACUUUACAGUUUUGCCUUAGGAUGGGUUUGAUUGAAUUCUAGAGCCAAGUAGUAACAGCCUCAUGAAUACUGAUAUGUAUUUCCCCAGGUGUCAAAUGUAUGACUGCUACCUAAAAGGUGAAACCUGUUUUUAAAAUAUGAUAAACAAUGUAGAGAUCUAACUUUGGCCUCCCCAUCAACCACUUUUAAAAUAAACUCAUUCAAAAUCACCAUGUUACCAUUGUGGAAAAAAAAAAUGUUCAAGUUGGGGAGGAGGGGGCCACCUUUCAUCAAUCUUUUUAUUAGCAAUCUCCAGAAGAUUAAAGACUCAGGAAGUUAGGUAUUAAAAUUUAAUUAACUUUUCAAGUUACAUGAAAGAAAAAAAUAAGGAAAAUCCACAUUCCUAUACAGAAGAAAUCUUCUAAAGUGCAUCUCAGUCUGCUGCUUGGACUUGAGGUACAAAUUAGGGGAUGUUUUUAGGAGACAAAGAGUGUAUAGCAUUUUGAGACUUAAGAUGAACAGCCCAUGGGUAAUAACUGAGCAAGUUAGUCACAAGCAAAUUAGCAUUUUAGACAAGCCAAGAGAAUGGAUUUUUUUCCUUAAGAGAUAUUUAAUGUCUACACGAUAUUUAUUAUUGUUGAUUCAGCCAAAAAUAUCAGUUAAUCUACCUAAAAAAAUAGAUUGCUAUGUCUCACUGUCCAGAUUGAUUUGGUAAGCCUGAACUGGUGCCUAGGAAAUCUAUUUGAUUUUUUCCCAAAUUCUCCAGGUCAUCCUGAUGGACAACCAAGUUGGAGAACAGCUAAUAUGGAAAAUGCUCGCACAGAAAGAAGCUUUGAUCUCCCAAAGCCUGGGGAAUUAGAGCUGAGGUCAAUCCAAGGUCAAAUACCAAAAGCAAAAUAUUAGAAUGGAAGUAAUAUAAUACUUAGGGUCAAGAAGCAGAGGCAGGGUCCAAAGGGGAAAGUACAAUUUAGGGUGGAAGCAAGCUUCAUGAAACAGGAAGGGAGGUCAGAAUGCCAAUGAGAAGUCACAGUGAGCGCAGGCGAGGAUUGGAAAGCAGAACACAGAAGUCCUGGGAUUCAGAAUUUGAGGUUCAGUCAAACUCAGGACACGGUGAAGGCUUUACCUGCAUCAGAUUCCUGUCU